CGGUCUACCACCGGGAUGUUCAUAACCCUUUGUUGUCCGACUCUGUUGCCUCCGGGGCGACCCUGCCUUCGGGCGGGGGCUCCGGGUGGACACUUCAAACUCUUGCGUAACUUUGCAGUCUGAGUAAACUUAAUUAAUAAAUUAAAACUUUUAACAACGGAUCUCUUGGUUCUGGCAUCGAUGAAGAACGCAGCGAAAUGCGAUAAGUAAUGUGAAUUGCAGAAUUCAGUGAAUCAUCGAAUCUUUGAACGCACAUUGCGCCCCCUGGUAUUCCGGGGGGCAUGCCUGUUCGAGCGUCAUUUCACCACUCAAGCCUCGCUUGGUAUUGGGCAUCGCGGUCCGCCGCGUGCCUCAAAUCGACCGGCUGGGUCUUCUGUCCCCUAAGCGUUGUGGAAACUAUUCGCUAAAGGGUGUUCGGGAGGCUACGCCGUAAAACAACCCCAUUUCUAAGGUUGACCUCGGAUCAGGUAGGGAUACCCGCUGAACUUAAGCAUAUCAAUAAGCGGAGGAA
rnacentral:rRNA from 1 species